AGAAGCCAUUUUUCACUUUCAUAUGAGAUUAUAACCAAAGGUGUUUAUGAACAAGACACCCAAAGUUUUGGAAAACCUUUCUGCAGUGAGACAUAACCCCCCGCCCACCUGCCACAGCACUUCCUGCUUAGAAGGAGAAUCCUCACCAGACACAGAGGAGGAGCCCAGUCUGAGCAGAAGCUUUGCACCCUGCAGGGAGAGCUGUCAGCAUGACACUUGUCAGCCUGCUGUGGGCAGUGGCCAUCUCCACCUGUCUGGGAUCCAGCAUGGCCCAGACUGUCACUCAGACACAGCCAGAAAUGUCUGUGCAGGAGGCAGAGACAGCGACCCUGGACUGCACGUACGACACUAGGGACAGCGAUUAUUAUUUGUUUUGGUACAAACAGCCUCCCAGCGGUGAGCUGGUUCUCAUUAUUCGCCAAGAAGCUUACAAGCCACAGAAUGCAACACAGAAUCGCUUCUCUGUGAACUUCCAGAAAGUAUCCAAGUCCUUCAGUCUCAAGAUCUCAGACUCGCAGCUGGGGGACGCUGGGAUGUAUCUCUGUGCGCUCAGGGAGCUCACAGUGAGACAGGUGACAGAGAGAGUCCUACAGAAACCUCAGACUUUGCCCCCGCAGCAGUGAGUAGUGGAAUGGAGAGAGUGGCAACAGAAUCAUGGACUUCUCUUGAAAUAAAAGCUCCUCUUCUGACUAGAGUUUCUACACAGACAGAUGGAUGUCUGCAGCCUUAAACCCUUAAUGUAAUAGUGAUAAAAAAGGGCAGGCCCAGGACUUUCCACUUUAACAAAGUACCUUCACAGGCAGGACUGU